rnacentral:rRNA from 1 species
UACGUAGGGUGCAAGCGUUGUCCGGAAUAUUGGGCGUAAAGAGCUCGUAGGCGGUCUGUCGCGUCUGCUGUGAAAACCUAGGGCUUAACUCUGGGCGUGCAGUGGGUACGGGCAGGCUAGAGUGCGGUAGGGGAGACUGGAAUUCCUGGUGUAGCGGUGAAAUGCGCAGAUAUCAGGAGGAACACCGGUGGCGAAGGCGGGUCUCUGGGCCGUAACUGACGCUGAGGAGCGAAAGCGUGGGGAGCGAACAGG